UUGAACGCUGGCGGCAGGCCUAACACAUGCAAGUCGAACGGUAACAGGAAGAAGCUUGCUUCUUUGCUGACGAGUGGCGGACGGGUGAGUAAUGUCUGGGAAACUGCCUGAUGGAGGGGGAUAACUACUGGAAACGGUAGCUAAUACCGCAUAACGUCGCAAGACCAAAGAGGGGGACCUUCGGGCCUCUUGCCAUCGGAUGUGCCCAGAUGGGAUUAGCUAGUAGGUGGGGUAACGGCUCACCUAGGCGACGAUGGAUAGGGGUUCUGGGAGGAAGGUCCCCCACAUUGGGACUGAGACACGGACCAAACUCCUACGGGAGGCAGCAGUGGGGAAUAUUGCACAAUGGGCGCAAGCCUGAUGCAGCCAUGCCGCGUGUAUGAAGAAGGCCUUCGGGUUGUAAAGUACUUUCAGCGGGGAGGAAGGGAGUAAAGUUAAUACCUUUGCUCAUUGACGUUACCCGCAGAAGAAGCACCGGCUAACUCCGUGCCAGCAGCCGCGGUAAUACGGAGGGUGCAAGCGUUAAUCGGAAUUACUGGGCGUAAAGCGCACGCAGGCGGUUUGUUAAGUCAGAUGUGAAAUCCCCGGGCUCAACCUGGGAACUGCAUCUGAUACUGGCAAGCUUGAGUCUCGUAGAGGGGGGUAGAAUUCCAGGUGUAGCGGUGAAAUGCGUAGAGAUCUGGAGGAAUACCGGUGGCGAAGGCGGCCCCCUGGACGAAGACUGACGCUCAGGUGCGAAAGCGUGGGGAGCAAACAGGAUUAGAUACCCUGGUAGUCCACGCCGUAAACGAUGUCGACUUGGAGGUUGUGCCCUUGAGGCGUGGCUUCCGGAGCUAACGCGUUAAGUCGACCGCCUGGGGAGUACGGCCGCAAGGUUAAAACUCAAAUGAAUUGACGGGGGCCCGCACAAGCGGUGGAGCAUGUGGUUUAAUUCGAUGCAACGCGAAGAACCUUACCUGGUCUUGACAUCCACGGAAGUUUUCAGAGAUGAGAAUGUGCCUUCGGGAACCGUGAGACAGGUGCUGCAUGGCUGUCGUCAGCUCGUGUUGUGAAAUGUUGGGUUAAGUCCCGCAACGAGCGCAACCCUUAUCCUUUGUUGCCAGCGGUCCGGCCGGGAACUCAAAGGAGACUGCCAGUGAUAAACUGGAGGAAGGUGAGGAUGACGUCAAGUCAUCAUGGCCCUUACGACCAGGGCUACACACGUGCUACAAUGGCGCAUACAAAGAGAAGCGACCUCGCGAGAGCAAGCGGACCUCAUAAAGUGCGUCGUAGUCCGGAUUGGAGUCUGCAACUCGACUCCAUGAAGUCGGAAUCGCUAGUAAUCGUGGAUCAGAAUGCCACGGUGAAUACGUUCCCGGGCCUUGUACACACCGCCCGUCACACCAUGGGAGUGGGUUGCAAAAGAAGUAGGUAGCUUAACCUUCGGGAGGGCGCUUACCACUUUGUGAUUCAUGACUGGGGUG
rnacentral:rRNA from 1 species